UGAUAGGAGAUCUAGCUAGCAAAACCCUUAGGAGAAAUACUGAGAUUGUCCCUCUUUACUUUCCUAGUCGCAGACUCAUAGAGGUAAGGGUGACCUUCAGGACAGGAGAUGGGGACAGUGUGAGCUUGGGUACUCUUCCAUGCAAAAGCUAAGCCAGCCCCUAAACUAUACAGGUAUGUCUGUGCAUGUCAUAGAUAUGAAAUGCAGUAUUUUCCCUCAGUAAAUUUAUAAGAAUAGAUUAGGUAUUAUAUAAUAAGCACUUUUUUUUUUCAGUGCUGUUUACCAGUCUGUAGAUAAUCCCAAAUCCAAUUCAUAUUUUAGCUCUUUUAUAUAGUGCAGUGUAAACAUAUUAAUCAAAAUAAAUGCGUUUAUGCUGCAAGGCUAUGUUUUUAGCAGUGUAUAACUUUGCUAAAUUUAAAGUGUUUGGGCAAACAUUUGUUAUGCUGAAUGUUUGACUCAGGAAAUUAUUUUUUUUUAAUGUUUUGGCCAUUUCUAAGUAUGAAGUUAGGAAAAACACUGUUUCUUCUCUGCACCAGACAAAAAAUAAUCUCUGAAUUUAUUUGUUUGCUGAAAAGUUCAAGGGCUUUCAAUCAAUUUUAUUAUUCAGUUUAAUUGUCAUGGUAGUUGACAGAUGUGUUUACCAUCUGUGAAAAAUCAUCUUGUUUUUGCCAAUUUCCAAGAAUCUAGAAAGAAUCUGAUUUCUUACAUGCUGAGUGAGGUCCAGGACAGUUGGUCAGUGGGGUGGUUUGAAGAUUCCCCUUGGACCGAGCAUACUUUAAGUUCAAGUAACUCCUGCAUGGUGACUGGGAAAUUACACCAGGACCUAUGAGCCCAUCUGGUGCUUAGGCACCUACUGCACUUACUUCAAAAAACAGGUCUAAAAUAUUAAAGAAACAAGCUGCGGAGGAAUAAUUCUACAUUCCGUGCGGCUAAGAAUAGGGCAAUUCCCACAUACUUAAUGGAGAACACAAGCAGAGAUGGUCAGUGUCUGCCCAUUGUUGUGCAAGCAAGAAUGGGCACAGAAGCACAAGGAGCACUCCGAAGAAGCACCAGCAUUCUUGUGCUUAUUGUGUGAAGCAGAUUUUUUAGAAACGAGCAUGUGACCAUGUCAUGAAACACUGUGUGAGCAUGUAAUUUAGAAAAAUGCAACAAAUUAUCUUGUGUCACACUGUUUGACUGCACAGACUUUGCUUUUACAGCUUUACAGCAGUGGUUUUUCGGGGCCUUUGUUUCUGUGUGAGUUUAAUGCAAACAGUAAAAUGUUCCACUUUUUUGAUACAUUGAAAUAUUACAU
rnacentral:lncRNA from 1 species